UACGGAGGGUGCAAGCGUUAAUCGGAAUUACUGGGCGUAAAGCGCACGCAGGUGGCUGAGCGAGUCGAUUGUGAAAGCCCUGGGCUUAACCUGGGAAUUGCAGUCGAUACUACUCAGCUAGAGUAUGGGAGAGGGUAGUGGAAUUCCCGGUGUAGCGGUGAAAUUCGUAGAUAUCGGGAGGAACACCAGUGGCGAAGGCGGCGAUCUGGGAAGAUACUGACGCUGAGGUGCGAAAGCGUGGGGAGCAAACAGG
rnacentral:rRNA from 1 species